GAUUCCGCACAAAGCAUUUGCGGUCAAAAAUUGUAAAAGAAAAACUCUCACAACUUUUAUAAUGUUUUUAUCAAAAUGCUCCACAGUAUAAAUCUCAUCUUCGAAGCUAACAGAGAUACGCCUAAUCAUUAAGCUUAACUAAAAUUGCAUCCUAGGUCCUCAAACUAACAAAUAGAAAAAACUAAUAAUGAAAAUAUUUUAAAGUAUUGACUAAAUAUUAUGAUUCGUGUAGCCUCUAGUGGGAUCCAUC
rnacentral:lncRNA from 1 species